rnacentral:rRNA from 1 species
CACGUAGGGGACGAGCGUUGUCCGGAUUCAUUGGGCGUAAAGCGCGCGUAGGCGGCUCGGAAAGUCGGGCGUGAAAUGCCGGGGCUCAACCCCGGGACUGCGUCCGAUACUUCCGGGCUGGAGGUAGGUAGGGGAGAUCGGAAUUCCUGGUGUAGCGGUGAAAUGCGCAGAUAUCAGGAGGAACACCGGUGGCGAAGGCGGCUAUCUGGACAGAGUCUGACGCUGAGGCGCGAAAGCUAGGGGAGCAAACAGG